CUUCCAAGCCAUCUCUCUCUUUUUCUAUCUCACCCCAUCGCUGGCGACGGUUGCUGCUCCCGGUCCCCGCCUUCUUCCCCCUCUACUGUCGUUGUUUCACCGGAGUCGUGCCAUUAACGUCGAAUGAACAGGAAACCGACGAUAGUCGUCAAAACUGUCGAAUCUGAUUCUGCCGAGUUGUAUCAAAAAUAGCAUGUUGAUGUCGUCUGAGGUCGUGGUUUGGGGUUGCCGGUUUGAGGUUCGUCGUGGUCGAAGUUUGAGUAUGUCGAAUUUCAGUUUCGUUUGAUCUUAUUGCCGAUUUUCCGUCGUUUAGCAUUUCAAGCUGUCAAACAAUCAUAUUUCAGAUUUGUUCAAGAUUCAGGCAUAGCUGGUCCCGCUCCCGAGUGCUGAUCAUUCCAGUUCAGGCAGAUCCGAGGAGUCUUUAGGUAGUUGUUGGCGUUCGCAGCCCGGAGCUCCUCCCUAUCUUUUUUUUCCUUUAUGUCCUUAAUUCUGUAUAAAACUCUGUAGUUACUUUGGGGUAUUCUGUGUUGUUAGAUGAUGUGACUUGUGACACCCCGGUAUCGGGCUAUGUUUGGGUUGUAUUCCGCACAUUAUACUAUCUUUUGCUUAGACUUUGGUUU